rnacentral:rRNA from 1 species
UACGGGAGGGUGCAAGCGUUAACUCGGAAUUGACUGGGCGUAAAGCGUGCGUAGGCGGUUCGUUAAGUCUGUUGUGAAAGCCCCGGGCUCAACCUGGGAAUGGCAAUGGAUACUGGCGAGCUAGAGUGUGUCAGAGGAUGGUGGAAUUCCCGGUGUAGCGGUGAAAAUGCGUAGAGAUCGGGAGGAACAUCAGUGGCGAAGGCGGCCAUCGUGGGACAACACUGACGCUGAGGCACGAAAGCGUGGGAGCAAACAGG